rnacentral:rRNA from 1 species
CAUGUGGUUAAUUCGAUGAUACGCGAGGAACCUUACCUGGGCUCGAACGUAAGAUGACUGUAGGUGAAAGCUUACAUCUCUUCGGAGCAUUUUACGAGGUGCUGCAUGGUUGUCGUCAGCUCGUGCCGUGAGGUGUCGGGUUAAGUCCCAUAACGAGCGCAACCCCUACCUUUAGUUGCCAUCAGGUAAUGCUGGGGACUCUAAAGGAACUGCCUACGCAAGUAGUGAGGAAGCGGGGAUGACGUCAAAUCAGCACGGCCCUUACGUCCAGGGCUACACACGUGCUACAAUGGCCGAUACAGAGGGCAGCUACCUGGUGACAGGAUGCAAAUCUCCAAAGUCGGUCUCAGUUCGGAUCGGAGUCUGCAACCCGACUCCGUGAAGUUGGAUUCGCUAGUAAUCGCGCAUCAGCCGUGGCGCGGUGAAUACGUUCCCGGGCCUU